rfam:Schistosoma haematobium scaffold1349_6, whole genome shotgun sequence.
AUCCAAUUGACGAGUUUCAAAUAGGAUGAAACGCGCGUCCUGGAU